UAUUAUUUUGUAGCAACGAAAACUCGGGCUUUGUUUUGAUUUGGUUAAAGUCGAAAUUAAAUCGAAAAAAUGAAGCGUUCCCGUGCUCCUCGAAUGAGUAAACUUUUUGGUUUGAAUAAAAGUGCUCCGGUUGCAAAAAGAUCAAAAAAGAAGAACUUGACAUCCUCUAAAGAUUCCCCAGAUAUUCUCCAACUUCCCUCAUCAAUUGUCUGUGAUGAAGUUCCUGCUACAGAUGAUAUUGUAUUGUGUUCAAAUUUUGUGAAAUCGGACACCGUAGAACAUCAUGCAUCCAACGAGGAGACAUUUGGAAACAUAGCCGCUCAUGACGAACUAGUAGCAAUGGAAAAAACAUUAUCAAGUGAAAUGAUAAAAAACGACAAGUU